rfam:Spiroplasma eriocheiris strain DSM 21848, complete genome.
UGGUCGAACUAGUUGCUAUUAAUUAAAGUUAAUAGAGGAAACUCCACGCUCGCACAAUCUGCGAAGAUUGUAGUGUUUGUGCUAACCGAAACCAUAAGGUUAGGCAUAGGUGAACCUAUGACGGCUGGUAGCUAGCGCUAAGUUAAUGUGUUAAUAUGCGCCGUACCUAUAAAAGUGCCACAGUGACGAUGUUCUAAAGAAAUUUAGAAAGUGGAACGGGUAAACCCCACAAGCGAGAAACCUAAAUUUUGGUAAGGGAAUCUGUUCUUUUUAAAAAGGAAGAAAGAACGGAAUUUAAAUAGAAAUUAUUUAAAUAGAUAAAUAACUAGUGAUUUAUAGCAAUAUAAAUAACAGAACGUGGGUUAUGAGA